GAACCCAAUGAUUUGUCUCCUGG
rnacentral:piRNA from 1 species